UGUGUGUGCAUGUGCAUGCGUGUGUGUGCAGUGUGUGCAUGUGUGUGCACUUGUGUGUGCUGCGUGUGCAUGUGCAUGCGUGUGUGCAUGUGCAUGUGUGUGCUGUGUGUGUA
rnacentral:miRNA from 1 species